GCCUGGGUGGCUCAGUUGGUUAAGCAUCUGACUUCGGCUCAGGUCAUGAUCUCACAGUUCGUGGGUUUGAGCCCCGCGUCGGGCC
rnacentral:tRNA from 1 species